UACGGGGGGGGGCAAGCGUUGUUCGGAAUUACUGGGCGUAAAGGGCUCGUAGGCGGCCAACUAAGUCGGAUGUGAAAUCCCCAAGCUUAACUUGGGAACUGCAUCCGAUACUGGAUGGCUUGAAUCCGGGAGAGGGAUGCAGAAUUCCAGGUGUAGCGGUGAAAUGCGUAGAUAUCAGGAAGAACACCCGUGGCGAAGGCGGCUCUCUGGAACGCAACUGACGCUGAGACGCGAAAGCGUGGGGAGCAAACAGG
rnacentral:rRNA from 1 species